UUAGUCCAAUAACAUCUGGAGACUCAAGGCUGGGAACCACUGCUCUACACAAAAGCAAAGUCAUAAAUUUUUGUAAUUCUAUAUAGUAUCAUUUUAUAUAAGUAGCAAGUGCAUAUAUCAAUAAGUUUGCAUUAAAAAAAACUUAUAAGAUUACCGGUAAUUCCCAACCAAUGGGCUAGAGAAAGAACCUCUGCUCAUCGGAAUACACUUUUACUAUGCACUCUGCUUAAUAAAAGGCUACCAACUGCAAGAGAGGGAAGAGUUGAUGGACUCUUGAGCAGUUUCGUAUCUGCAGGAAAGUAACAGCGCACAAACUUGCCACGAGUUUCCUCACAAGAGAAACGUACCAACCCAUGCUGCAUUUUAAACCACGUGUAAGGGGCGCCGGGCCCCAGAAACUGCCUGGGAAAGCUUAGCUACCAACAGAAAGAAGGAACACAUAAGGAUUACACAAUAAUUUAUGGUGAUGGGAAAUGGCAAGGAAGAAGAUCUUUUCACACAGGAAAGCAGAGAAGUGGCAGAUAACCAAAGUUAGCCUCUCUGUGCAUGCACAUUGACUGUAACACCAAAGAUCUUCACCUUUUGGAAUCCCAAGAACAGCAACAGAGAAAGCGGCCAUAGAAGGAAGACGAAGAGAAGCAAAGCAAAGCAAAG